CUGCUAACACUUGCCUGCCUCUCAGGCCAGUGUCUUGGGACUGACGCCGCUGUGUCCGCCGACGUCCUCCGUUACGUCUUCGGUGCUCGUGCUGCAGACUGACGCGCCCACCGCGCGCCGCGUGUGCUCGGUGCUGGAGACGGCGGUUGCCCACGCCAGAGCUCCCCACCACGCGCGCCUUGCCACCGCCUUGUCCUAGGCAGCCACCGAGGGAUAUAGGCCACUUGGAACGUGGCGCGUGGGGGCGCGAACCACGUGUGUGGCGAUCGUGCUGUGUGGCAAGCAGGGUGCUGGUGCUGCUGUGUGGCAAGCAGGGUGCUGGUGCUGCUGUGUGGCAAGCAGGGUGCUGGUGCAGGUAGUAGUGCUUUGGGGUGGCCACGAUUACUGGCAGUCGUUAAAUGAUAUGCAAAUGAAGAAAUGUGCAUUGUAAUACUGAAAUAGACGUUAACAGUAUGUUAUUGUAAUAGCUAACCUGCGAGGAGUAACAUUUAUUUCAAAUUGCUUACCAAUAACUGUAGUCCUGUUAAUAUCAUCGAGAAGCUAUAUAUUUUUUAAUAUAUACAUGCUGUCUGUGUUUAUAUACAGCUGUCGGGAAAUAUACAAUUGCGUUUUUGGACGAAAUGUGGAAUUGACUGCCUGAUCUUUGCCUUAUGUUAUUUCUCUGUUAGAAUCUUGUAUCAUAUUGACAACUUCAUCAGCUGGGGAAUCGAUUCUUGCAAGACCUUACACAGUUACAUGAGCUGCUUUGAGGCCGGCACUGUCUGCCUUGAUGUGAGGUCACUGCCGCAGGAAUGAUUUUGAAAGCCCAAGAAUAAUGACAAUUGAAAAAUCUGCGCUUCUGGGUCAUAAUGCUAUGCAAGACUGCUACUAUAAGCUUACCUACAUUUUUUAUUCAUUUUGUGAGCAGGAACUAAAGUAUUAGUGAUGGUGUAACUGUACUGUCGACCAAUGCUAGUUCAAUGUUGAUUUAAAUUGUGUACCAAAGAUGGCAACCAAAGUAACUAGAUGCAGCAUUUUGGACUAUUAGGUUGCAAGAACACGUCAAUCGCUUCAAAAUAUGUGGAACAUUUUUCGCAGAGCAGCCUCUGGAAUCUUGAAACUUGGCUUGAAUAUGCCUAUUAGAAAUGAGCUGAAAAUUGCUGGUAGGUAUUCCAUUAUGUUUUAAAUUAAUUUGAAUAUGGAAGAAAUAUGUAGGAAGCUGUAAAUAUUGAAUAACAUGUUACAUCCAACGUGCCCAUUAAUAGUCAUCGAGCAAUAAAUAUAUUUUAUACUCACACGAGACCUAAGUAAGUCGCACACAAUUCCACCAUUUCAUUGUAGGGAUAAAAUCAUGCCAACUCGGUCAUUCAUCCAAUUCU